UCAAAUAAAAUGAUCUAAAGAUUCAUAUUUGAAACAAUCUUGAUCAUACAAUCUACAAUUACUGGGAUGUCUUUUACCACAAUGUUUACACUAGGGUUGAUCAGAUCUAGCAUUUCCAACACUUGCAAUAGAAGUAGCUGGAGCUCCAAAGCUCGAAUGAGUUCUAGCAAGAUCUCUACUCGAAUGCCCCACAUUAACCUUUGAAUGGCUAAAAUCAUCUCGGAACUUCUUUGACGUAGACUGAAAUGAUUUACUUAUAGAUCUCUUUCUCAAAUCUCUAGUUUCUGAAUCAGCUUUUCUUUUCUCUU
rnacentral:lncRNA from 1 species